GAGACAUUCAUUAGGAGAGUCAAGCUGACGCUGUCACCCUAGCCUGUUUCCAAGGAGCUUGCCCAGACACAAGCCAGCUUCGAGAACUAGCAGCACACCGCCACGCUACCGUGGUAGACGCCAGUUGGAGGGAAAGAUGGGAGACGAAGAGAGUUCUCUCUCCAUCAAUCCUGUACCCCCUGGGCACCCUGCUGGAUCAAUGCUCUGGUGCACUGUAACCCAAUCACAUCGACCGCACAUCGACCCUUCUGGGAUGGAGGCAAGGAGGAGGAGAAGCAUCAUAUAGACCUGUACUGGAUUGAGUGAAGUCAAAAGUAUAAAGGAAAAAUAAAUAUAUCGAAUAGAGCUAUCACAAUUCCCUAUUCUACCAGACAGGCAAUUAUUUUUGUGCUGCACAAUACAUGACUCUCUGAACGUUACACCCUCGUGGACAGUUCCCAGGUGUUGGCACGACAGACCUUUGCUACUUUCCUCGGUGUCAUAUCGUGAGGAUAAUGCUGUUUAUGUUUGGAGUUCAUCAUUGUUUUAGCCAGGCAGUGUAAGCAUUGGGGUAGAUUUUAUAUGAUGAGCUCUGAUGUCUAGUAAUUAUGCAUGAGGGACAGGAAAUACUGUGAUGUACUGUACAGGCCCAGCUCUAGCCGAGAUAUGGUUAUCCCCUCCCUCCCACCACCACCUCACGUGCAAAACAUUUUAGUGGCAUAAAUGUUCAUUGAAAUAAGAUGCUACAGAAGUAUAACUUUCUUCCAACAAGUAGGGAACUCUGAGCCACCUUAGUGGAAAAGUUGGACUGUAUGCUGUUGCUAGGAGCGACACCAUGGGAUCGUUGUUGAUGAGGGAGGAGUUUCAGGCGUUAUAAUUCAAAGACCAACUGUGAUGAGCAUUAUAAAUAAAAACAAAAAAUCCAACCACAUGUACGAUCCAUGGAUCGCAACAUGAGUGCAAGUGAACAGGAGAGAGGUGAGCUAUCUCAUGUCCUCACCUGUCUGCUGAUAUCAGCCAGCCCAUGACUGCCUCACUGCCUUUCUCUCUCUCCCUCUCUUUCUCUUAAUCUCUCUAACUCUACCAGUUAAAAGUCAAAUCCAGCUAAAAAAAAAAACUGGAAAACGUCAUUCAUGUAAUGCCCAUAAGAUUUCAGAUGCUUUACUGUAUCGUUUUUAAGUGAACAAGGGGGAUGUAAGCCCGAUCUCUGUGCUCCAUCCCUUCUCUCCUCCCCCUCUUGUCUGGGCCUGGUGUGGUGUUGUGUGUUGCGGAGGAUCCCCGGGGUGUGUGAGGGCUAAUUAGGGUGAGCGGUUAGUAGGGAAACACAGGUGUUAGGCAGACCAUGCUCGCUGUGCGGAGUAAUGACUGUUCUGCGAACCCCACCCUUCCCCAUGGGUAAUUUGUCGCUGCUCUGCGUAAUCAUGCAUCUCAGUGCUCCACUUCCAUUU
rnacentral:lncRNA from 13 species